rnacentral:misc_RNA from 1 species
ACAAUAUUCUUCAGAAUGUCUUUCGCCAGAUUUGGCAUUGGAUGACAAAAGCAAUCGUGAAUCAGACCCCUCUGCACGGAUUAUAGAUGCAUUAUAUAGAACCUGGAGCAGAGAAAUCCAUAGCAGAAGCUUCAUUGCAAACGAUACACAGUCCACUGAUUACUGAAUGAGAGUGCACAUAUGAGAGAUACAGAGGACGAUAAAUAGGGAGAUCAAAGAGUAAAAAGGCGAGCUUGUUGCUUUUGUAUGGUGAGAGAGUCAAAAAAGUUGCCUGAAUUUAUUGUUGCUGGUAAGAGAACAGAGGAGAAGUUUUAUAGUUUGCAGCGUUCCCCUACACGCUCG